AAUUCAAUAGAGGUCAUCAGUAGAUGCUAAAACCAUUAGGUGUAGGCAUUACAUACAUAUCUGGCCGCAAGGCCUGGGCAAUCAGCUGAGAAGCCAUCUCAGUGUGAGCCAGAGAGUCGUCAAGCAGCAGCGGCUGCUCUGGGUCUAACAGUAGUAGUAGAACCUCUGCUCCUACUCUGAGCCCUCUCCUGGGCUUGGUGUUGUAUCUCAUUCUCAACGCAACCAUGUCCCUUCCUCCUGGACAACGGUGCAGCAGUGGCAAGGAGAGACGAGGUCCCUUAGGGACACCAGAACAGAGAAUGCAGCAUCUGAUUUCCUCAGAUUGAUUUCCCUCUGUUUUUCUAGCUCCAUCCACUCCAGCCCAUGAAUCUUCUCCAAAAACGAGAGCAGAGCAUUCAGCAGCUAUGGGCCAUCAGUAAGGGCCAUUUAGCACUCACCCCUGCUCCAUUACAAGGCCUGUCCCAGUAGCCAGUGAAUAACUGCAUGAAGAGGCUCUCAGAUGCUGCCAACUGCCCAGGUGAGUUUGCCCUGGAAGUGAUAAACAUCUUACCAGGAAGAAACCAACAUUUAGAAUGCCUCAUAAAGAAAGAAUCCACUAAGCUGAAUAUAAGACAGAAUAAACAGGUUAAAAAAAAGAAAAAAAGAUUUACCUAUAAGGAGUAGGUACCUACAAAAAACAGGUCGUGUGACUUUAGCUCCUCCAGGAGGAAAGGCAGCUCCUGAAUCCAUGACUGUUAUAUAGGAAGAAAGGGAUACUCUUCUUUUUUUUUUCUCACCAAAUCCAUUAAGAGUUCCAAAGGUGGAUUAAUGGAGCUACAGAAUAGAAAUUUGGUAAUAGCCCACUGUCCUCACAAGAAAAAGACCUCCAUCCAUGUUGUGCAAGAAUCAGCUGACUCCCAUUACCACCCAUCCCAGUUAGGCCCUUCUUCUUCAAGAGGAGCCUAUAAACUGGCUCCUACAAUGUGACUGCAGCCCGGUCACAAGGCAGUCUGGAAGGUAAAUGUCUUGCAAAAAUAAUGCUGUAAAUUCCCUGAACUCAUACUCUUUGGCAGAAGGGAGAGAUCAUGGUGGGGAAACCAAAAACCAACUGGAAGAAAUGGAAGAGCUGACUUAGAGAAGGAAAUUGAAAUGUAGUUUGAGAGAGAGAAACUGAAAUAGAGCUCAAAUAUAAGCCAGCUAUUAGUGAGAAGAUUAGACUUAAGAGGAGAGUCCUGUAUGGACACUUGGUUUUCAAAACUUGGAAGACCAAGAAUAAACAGCUCAAACAGGCCAAUGACACUGUGGAGAGGGACUUAGCUGAUAAAGGGAAAGGAAUUCAAAAGCAUUUUGUGGACAUGGAUAUUCAAAACAAGAAGUUAUAAUCCUAAUUGUAGGACAUAAAGAUGACACAGGAUAACCCUCUGAGACAAGACAGUGCCUGGAUUUCAAGAUUUUCCAGAAAAGAAAACCUUAACUUCCAACACCUCCAAUGGCAAAAUGGAGAGCAUGUUGUCUCUGGAAAAGUAGUCACAGAGUAAGGGGACAACAGUGAGUUGACACGACAGAUGAUGUGACUAAUGGCUCUGAUUUGUUUGAUGAGAUUUUGAUGGUUACCACCACCGAGUUUGGUCCCCUUCUUUCCAUAGCCUCUCUCUCCAUCCCUGAAGCAAAGGGCCAAGAAGCCUCCACAUUGCAGUGACCCUGCGGCGUGAUGCCAGACGGGGCCACCAGAUCUUUGGGGUUCUUGGUGGAGUCGCUCAUCAUCCAGAACGUGUCCAAGUUCCGGGAGCACAGGUCAUCUGACAAGUCUGGUGCUGACGGGCAGAAACUCCCGGUGGGCCUUUGUAAGGAUGAGCCUUUUGUUGAACAGCAGGCAAAGCGACCUGGGCCCAGUUCCCAGAUCCUGUAGCGCAAGGAAGACUCGUUCCUGUGCCAACUCCAGCAGCACAACGCUGGCGUUUGCAGCCCAGAAGAAAGAAUCACGGAUGGCAUGGCGCCCAGCUCCGCCUGCGGGUCUGCUGUCCCAUGGCCAGACCCACAGGGACAGUCCCAAGCUGCGCCUUCCCACCCACGUGCAGGCCUGCUCCUCGGGGCCUGAGCAGACGCAGCAGGUCCGCGCGGUCUGCUGCUCGCGCUCCUUCUUGUGCAACUGAAAGCAACGAUCGUUGACAGUUCCAACCGUCCUUGCUCAGUGGCUGUUUUCAACUGGAAGAUCACAGUGCCCCAAGUCAAGGAAAGGCCCAAGUGAGGGACAGCAAUCGAGCUCCUGGCCCUACCACACCCAGGGCAUCUCCAACCCUUCUCCUGCUUGAGGCUAAGGAGGGAAAAAAAUGAGAGAAAUACUGAAGACAGAGAUCCUGGCAAAACAAUACCUACCACAAGGAAACAGGAAUGAAGAAGGAAAUUGAGAAUGCCGGACCUUCUAAAACCUUAAGCAUGGGCCUCAGGCCUACAGCAUCCCGUGGAAGUUUAGUAGGUUUGCACAAUUUCAGACCUCAUGCUGGACUGACCAAAUGAGAAUCUACAUAUUAACAGAUUCCUAGGUAAUUCAUUGACCACUAAAAUUUUAUGAGCGCUGAUCUACAAGAUACCUGACUGAAACUCUUCAAAAAUCAGUCUAAGGCCCAGAUGGGUUGGUGAAUUCUGCCAAACAUUCAAAGAAGAAAUUAUACCAAAUCUCUACAAUCUCUUUGAGAGGCUCCCUCUGUGUUUACCAAUACAGGUAAUACAAGGUACUUGGUUGUGCAGAGCAACAUGGUGAGGUGUGGUCUCAGCUCCAGCUCAGCCUCUAGGCUCUCUCCCCUUCACUCUCACCCUAGUCUUCCUGUUCACACACAUCCACUGAAUUCCUGGGCAAAGAUGAAGGCAGGGAGUAAAACGAUCAAGAAGUAUUUCAAAUCAAUAGUGUUCAACUUUAGCUUUUGAAAGCCUGGCUUCAAAUAAAUGUACAAUAAAUUCUUGAUCAUUCCUUCUCCCUUCAACGCUCCAUUCUGAAGGAUUUAGUGUUAAACCCAGCCUUAAAAGAGCUGAAAGGCACAGUCACCAACCUGCUUGAAAGAUAACCAAGUCGGAGGUCUCCGGGGCUUGGCCUCCAUCAGACGAGGACUGCGAGGAAGGAGAGGACUGAGGCAGUGUGGGAGAUAGAAACCAGAGGGAAGUCAAGGAUUACAAGAUAUUCCAAAUACCCAUCUGAGCAGCUAAUGCAUGGGCUUUCCCACCUCUUUAAUCACACUCAUGCAACCAUCAAGAAAUAUCAAGAAAGACAAUUUCUUCAGCACACCAGAUUCCCAUCUAUGCCCUCUCAAAGCAACUACGUUCCCCAGUGUGCUCGUUACUCUGAUUUCUACUAUCAAAAAGUGGUUUGCCUGUUUCAGCUUCAUGUAAAUAGGAUCAAACUGCAUGUAUUGUUUUGAAUCUGGAUACUUUUGAUGACAUUGUGAGAUUCAUUCAUGUUGUUAGAUGUAAAUAUCUUUAUUCACUUUGGUUUCUCUGUGUUAUUCCAUUGUAUAAAUGUACCACUUAUACCAAUUUACUGAUCCAUUUUACUACUUAUUGGCAUUUGGGCUUUGUCAAUUUGGGGGUUCUUAUGGAUACUGCUGCUGUGAGAAAAUUUGUACAUGUCUUUUGGUAGACAUAUGUACAUUUUUCGGGAGGUUUAAAUCUAAGACUGAAAUAAUUGGUUCACUCAUCAAGUUCACUAUAUUUUUUGUCUGCUAUGUCUAAUCUGCUGUUAAUCUGUCAUUGUAUUUUCAUCUGUCAUUGUAGUUUUCACCUCUACUACUUUGAUUUUGGCCUUUUUGUUUAAAAUUGACUUCGACUUCUAUGUCUACUUAUCUUUUUGAACAGAAGGCAUACAGCUAUUAUGAUGCAUUUAAUGUCCUUGGUCUACUAAUUCUAACAUCCAUAUCAGCUCUGGGCUGUAUUCGAUUGAUUUUUCUUUUCUUAAGGGUCGUAUUUCCUCAGCCUUUGACUGACAAAUGCCUAGUAAUCUUUGAUUGGGUAUCUGACGUUGUGAAUUACACCUUUUUGGUGAAUAUUUUUUAUUCUUGAGCUUUACUUUGGACACACUGAAGUUACCUGAAAAAUGUGAUAAUUUUGGGUCUUGCUUUUAAAAUGUAUUAGGUGGAACCAGAGAAGUUCUCAGUCUAGGGCUCAUUAUUUCACACACAAUUAACCCAAGACUCAUCUGAGGACUCUAUGCAGUACCCCUUGAAUUAUUAGGUUUUUCAGUCUGGCUAGUAGGAACAGGCACUAUACCCAGCUCUGUGUUACUACUGCAUACUGUUCCUUCUAAUUCUUUUACAUGGUUCUUUCCCCAGCCCCAGGAAGUUUCUUUACAUGCAUGUGCUCACCAAUCCCCUGCUAAAUUGUUAAAUUCUCAGGAGUAGGGAGGGGGUGAAGUUCUUCAUAUAUUUCUGGUUGUCUUCUGUGCAGCUUUUUAUCUGAUUCACUUCUGGAUAUGCAUACGAAAAUAAGGUUGUACAAUACAAACCCUUUUGCAAUGUGCCUUUACAAUAUUGCAUAGUAUGUAUGUUCCAUAAUUUAUUUUAAUUUUUCCCUAUAAAAAAUAAUAUCAAAGUGUUUCAUUCUGUGAGUUUAUUAUUUAAUACAUUUUUUUAAGCAACAAUGUAUUAAAUGAGCAAGGAAAUAGAGGGUUUGAAUAAUCAACCAGCUCAUCUAAAUAGAAAUGUACAGAAUUUUGUAUAUAGCAUUAAAAUGUAUACAUACUUCUUAUAUCCAUGAAAAAUUUGCAAAAGCCAAUCUGUUAUUUGGCUAUAAAAAUUCUUAUGAACUCUCAAUAAAAAUAGAAAUGAACAACAAAAAAUUUUCAAGAACACAAUUUCAAAAUUAGAGUAUUGUCUACCAAAUUACUUCUAUAAUAAUGAGUACAUCUAAUCUAAAAUUAUAAAUUAAAGAUAAGGUUUCAGGGGCCAGCCCAGUGGUGUGGUGGUUAAGUGUGCAUGUUCCACUUUGGUGGCCUGGGGCUCCCGGGUGCGGACAUGGCACCACUUGGCAAGCCAUGCUGUGGCAGGCGUCCCACAUAUAAAGUAGAGGAAGAUGGGCAUGGAUAUUAGCUCAGGGCCAGUCUGCCUCAGCAAAAAGAGGAGGAUUGGCAGCAGAUGUUAGCUCAGGGCUAAUCUUCCUCCAAAAAAAAAAAAGAUAAGGUUUCAUAUCAAAACUUACCCUAUAGUAAUGGAUGAGACUUAUAAUUGAUAUACUUUGUUUUAUACUUGUUUAUCAAUGUAUCCGAAUGCGUUAUCAGAAAAGAAGGAAAUGUUUUAGCUAGAUGUUUCUUUUGUGCAGAUUACAGUAGUAAAAAUAUGUAAAAAAAUCUAAAAGUUCAACAGUGGCAGACUGCUUAAACGGAUCAUUGUAUAUAUUAACAUUUAAAAAAUGGACAAUAAGGCAAUCAUCCAACUAAUUUUUUUAUCUAAAUUUAUUAACAUGGAACAACUUUCACAUCGUAUUGAUAGGUAGGUAAAAAAGAUGUCAAAUGUUCAUACUACAGUCCCAUUGUAAACAAGACUUCAUGGAGGUUUCCAUAUGUAUACAUGUGUGUGCAAAGAAAGAUAACUAGAAAAAUGUUCACCAAACAAUUAGCAAAUUAAUAGCUUACAAAGAUAAUGGGUAUUUUAUAUUUUCCCUUUUAUAAUUUUGGAUUGAAUCUUUAUAAAAGAUAUAAAUCAUUUUUAUAAUCAAAGAAAAAAUAAAACUAGUUCAAUUAAAUAAAUCUAAAAUUUGUUUUCAG
ensembl:lncRNA